ensembl:snoRNA
AUCCUUUUGUAGUUCUUAAGUGUAAGGAUUGGGUGUUCAUGCUGUUGUGUUGUGUGACAUGUGCUUCCCUCAAACCUUGUUAUGACCUCAGCACAUUACUCAUCUAAUG